GCCAGACGGAAGAAGCCAAGCAGAACAUUUGUGGUGUGAGAAAAAAAUGAUCUUGACAAGGGACACCUUCUACAGGCUGUGAAGGGACGCCUUCAACAUGCCGUGAAGGGACGCCUUCUACAUGC
rnacentral:lncRNA from 1 species